rfam:Gossypium raimondii Chr11_contig_8, whole genome shotgun sequence.
UGUUAAAACUUCCAUUCAUUUCUACUGUUAAAAACUAAUAUCGCUGACAGACCAAAUAGUUACACAUGGUAUGUUACUUGUAUCUCAUGCUGACGUACAUGGACCAUUUUUUAAUGGUAGAUAUUGAUGGAAUUUUUAACA